rnacentral:rRNA from 1 species
GCACAAGCAGAGGAGCGCGUUGGUCUAAUUCGACGCAAUCGAAGAACCUUACCAGGGUUUGAAAUGUUAUCUGCAUGCCCUAUGAAAAUAGGGAGGCCUUCGAGGGUGAUACACAGGUGCUGCAUGGCCGCCGUCAGCUCGUGUCGUGAGAUGUAGGGUUAAGUCCGGUAACGAGCGCAACCCCUGCCCUUAGUUACCAGCGGGUAAUGCCGGGAACUCUAAGGGGACUGCCUUGGUUAACGAGGAGGAAGGUGGGGACGACGUCAAGUCAUCACGGCCUUUAUGUCCAGGGCCACACACGUGCUACAAUGGCCGGCACAAAGGGUUGCCAACCCGCGAGGGGGAGCCAAUCCCAAAAAUCCGGCCUCAGUUCGGAUUGCAGUCUGCAACUCGACUGCAUGAAGUCGGAAUCGCUAGUAAUCGCGAAUCAGCAGGUCGCGGUGAAUACGUUCCCGGGCCUU